rnacentral:rRNA from 1 species
UCUAGUGACGAUAGCAGAGAGGUCACACCCGUUCCCAUGCCGAACACGGAAGUUAAGCUCUCUAGCGCCGAUGGUAGUUGGGGGCUGUCCCCCUGUGAGAGUAGGACGUUGCUGGGC